CAGUGACGUCAUAAGAAGAGGUCGGUCAGUGCACUUGAAAUCUUGUCUCAGGCCUCGGAUUCGACUCAGGUGAGCAAAACUUCAGGUGCAUCGACCACUGUCACGUAUACGACAAUGGAAG
rnacentral:precursor_RNA from 10 species